GUUUGGCGUCAUUCCCGAUGCAAUCCAUGGCAAGAGUGGCAACUGCAUGAGCUCCUUUCUUUGGGUAUUGAGCCUCCAGCCUGGGGUCCAUGAUCCUGAAUAUUUUGUGCUUGUCGCCUAAGUAGGGUCUUGCCCAGUCUACCAGGUUUUCUUCUAUGCCGAUUUUCGACUUAUCGAGGGCACGACGUCCAGAUAAUAGCUCCA
rnacentral:misc_RNA from 1 species